AACAGGAUUAGAUACCCUGGUAGUCCACCCCGUAAACGUUGGGAACUAGUUGUGGGGACCAUUCCACGGUUUCCGUGACGCAGCUAACGCAUUAAGUUCCCCGCCUGGGGAGUACGGCCGCAAGGCUAAAACUCAAAGGAAUUGACGGGGACCCGCACAAGCGGCGGAGCAUGCGGAUUAAUUCGAUGCAACGCGAAGAACCUUACCAAGGCUUGACAUACACCAGAACACCGUAGAAAUACGGGACUCUUUGGACACUGGUGAACAGGUGGUGCAUGGUUGUCGUCAGCCCGUGUCGUGAGAUGUUGGGUUAAGUCCCGCAACGAGCGCAACCCUCGUUCUAUGUUGCCAGCACGUAAUGGUGGGAACUCAUGGGAUACUGCCGGGGUCAACUCGGAGGAAGGUGGGGAUGACGUCAAAUCAUCAUGCCCCUUAUGUCUUGGGCUUCACGCAUGCUACAAUGGCCGGUACAAAGGGCUGCAAUACCGUAAGGUGGAGCGAAUCCCAAAAAGCCGGUCCCAGUUCGGAUUGAGGUCUGCAACUCGACCUCAUGAAGUCGGAGUCGCUAGUAAUCGCAGAUCAGCAACGCUGCGGUGAAUACGUUCCCGGGUCUUGUACACACCGCCCGUCAAGUCAUGAAAGUCGGUAACACCUGAAGCCGGUGGCCCAACCCUUGUGGAGGGAGCCGUCGAAGGUGGGAUCGGUAAUUAGGACUAAGUCGUAACAAGGUA
rnacentral:rRNA from 1 species